rnacentral:rRNA from 1 species
UCGUUGUAGCAAUACAGUGGAAAGUUCAGUGGCGAACGGGUGCGUAACACGUGGGCAAUCUGCCUUAAAGUGUGGGAUAGCUCGGCGAAAGCCGAAUUAAUACCGCAUGUGGCUACUGGAGACAUCUUCGGGACGCUAAAGGUGGCGCAAGCUACCGCUUUUCGAGGAGCCCGCGGCCUAUCAGCUUGUUGGUGAGGUAACGGCUCACCAAGGCGUUGACGGGUAGCUGGUCUGAGAGGACGACCAGCCACACUGGGACUGAGACACGGCCCAGACACCUACGGGUGGCAGCAGUCGAGAAUUUUUGACAAUGGGGGAAACCCUGAUCGAGCGACGCCGCGUGGAGGAUGAAGGUCUUCGGGUUGUAAACUCCUGUCAUUUGGGAACAAGGCGUAUGUAUUAACUGUACGUGCGUUGAUAGUACCAGAAGAGGAAGAGACGGCUAACUCUGUGCCAGCAGCCGCGGUAAUACAGAGGUCUCAAGCGUUGUUCGGAUUCAUUGGGCGUAAAGGGUGUGUAGGUGGCGCGCUAAGUCGCCGGGGAAAUUUUCGGAGCUUAACUCCGAAACUGCAUUCGAUACUGGCGUGCUUGAGGACUGGAGAGGAGACUGGAAUUCACGGUGUAGCA